AUGACUGACCUUGGUCCUCUUCAUCACUUUCUUGGGAUCACUGUCUCUCGCACUUCAUCUACACUCUUUGUCUCUCAACGCCAGUAUCUUCUUGACUUGCUCUCUCGUGCGGGGAUGACUGACUGUCAACCCUGUCGUACGCCGGUCGACGUUGGUACCAAGUUGUCGGCCGACGGUGAACUUUUUUCUGAUCCUACUCUAUAUCGCAGUAUCAUUGGUGCUCUCCAAUAUUCCACUCUCACUCGUCCUGAUAUAUCUUAUUAUGUUCAACAAGCGUGCUUAUAUAUGCAUGAUCCCCGUGUUCCUUAUUUUUCUCAUGUCAAGAGAAUACUUCGGUAUCUCAAAGGUACUAUUGAUCAUGGUCUCCUUCUUAACUCUUCCUCUCCAACAAGCUUGACAGUUUAUUCUGAUGCAGACUGGGCGGGUUGUCCAGAUACUCGACGAUCUACAUCCGGCUUUUGUGUUUAUUUGGGUGACAAUCUUGUUUCUUGGUCUUAUAAAAGGCAGGAUACAGUUUCCAGAUCUUUUGCAGAAGCUGAAUAUCGGUCUGUUGCUCAUUCUGUGGCCGAGGCGGUGUGGCUCCGUCAGCUUCUGGUUGAGCUUCAUCGACCAAUCGAGCGUGCAACAGUUGUUUAUUGUGACAAUAUUUCUGCAGUCUACAUGGCGUCCAAUCCUGUUCAGCAUCGCCGCACCAAACACAUCGAGAUUGAUAUUCAUUUUGUUCGUGAAAAAGUGGCUCUUGGCGAGGUCCGUGUGCUUCAUGUUCCUACCACUGCGCAAUUUGCUGAUAUUUUCACCAAGGGGCUCCCCACUGCAGCAUUCACUGGCAUUCGCUCCAGUCUCAACAUCGUUACACCUGAUGUUGACACUGCGGGGGUUAUUAGAGUAUAUAUUCGGUUUAUGUAUAUUUGGUAG
rnacentral:rRNA from 1 species